AAAUCAAACAUUCAUCGGUUAUGAAUAUGAAAAGAUAAGGAGGAGAAAAUUUCACAGAAAAAACAACUAAAGAGGGAGAAAUGCAACUGGUAUUAGGCGCUACUACUAUGUGAUGUUGUUUAAGAAAAUGAAGAUUUGUCUUUAUUGGUUUUAUUGGGAAACUAGCUUAAAUGUUAGAUCCACCUACGCAGCAGAUAAGGAAGAUGAACAAAGGAGUAAGGCUCACAAAGCAAUCAGAAGAUUUAAUGAAUUAUUGGUGGCCUCUGCUGUUGCUGAUUUUUUACCUUAUCUAAGAUGGCUGGAUAUUGGUGGCCAUGAGAAAGCUAUGAAAGAGACUGCUAAAGAAGUGGACUGCCUUGUUGAAGAUUGGUUAGCAGAGCACAAAAGAAAGAGGAAAUAAACCAGGAGAUGAAGAAGAUUUCAUGGACGUCAUGUUGUCCAUUUGUGAAGACAAAGGUCUUUAUGGUUUUGAUGCUGAUGCCGUUAUCAAAGCUACUUGUUUGGUACGGUUUUAGUUAUAAACAUCGUUUACAGUGGUAAAAUAUUUAAGAUUUGAAGCUUAUGAUUUCUAUGAA